AGAGUUUGAUCCUGGCUCAGAUUGAACGCUGGCGGAAUGCUUUACACAUGCAAGUCGAACGAUGAAGUCUAGCUUGCUAGACGGAUUAGUGGCGAACGGGUGAGUAAUAUAUCGGAACGUAUCCAUUAAUGGGGGAUAACUAGUCGAAAGAUUGGCUAAUACCGCAUACGUCCUACGGGAGAAAGCUAGGGACCUUCGGGCCUGGCGUUAAUGGAGCGGCCGAUAUCUGAUUAGCUAGUUGGUGAGGUAAAGGCUCACCAAGGCGACGAUCAGUAGCUGGUCUGAGAGGACGACCAGCCACACUGGAACUGAGACACGGUCCAGACUCCUACGGGAGGCAGCAGUGGGGAAUUUUGGACAAUGGGCGCAAGCCUGAUCCAGCCAUUCCGCGUGAGUGAAGAAGGCCUUCGGGUUGUAAAGCUCUUUCGCAAGGGAAGAAAACUUACUCUCUAACAUAGGGUGAGGAUGACGGUACCUUGAUAAGAAGCACCGGCUAACUACGUGCCAGCAGCCGCGGUAAUACGUAGGGUGCGAGCGUUAAUCGGAAUUACUGGGCGUAAAGCGUGCGCAGGCUGUUUUGUAAGUCAGAUGUGAAAUCCCUGGGCUCAACCUAGGAACUGCGUUUGAAACUACAAGACUAGAAUAUGUCAGAGGGGGGUAGAAUUCCACGUGUAGCAGUGAAAUGCGUAGAGAUGUGGAGGAAUACCAAUGGCGAAGGCAGCCCCCUGGGAUAAUAUUGACGCUCAUGCACGAAAGCGUGGGGAGCAAACAGGAUUAGAUACCCUGGUAGUCCACGCCCUAAACGAUGUCUACUAGUUGUUGGUGGAGUAAAAUCCAUGAGUAACGCAGCUAACGCGUGA
rnacentral:rRNA from 1 species